rnacentral:rRNA from 1 species
CCAUGAGUAAAGUGACGCACGGGUGAGUAACACGUGGAUCAUCUACCCUUUAGUGGGGAAUAACCCUGGGAAACCGGGGCUAAUACCGCAUAAUCCUGGGAAGGGAAAGCAGCAAUGCGCUGAAGGAGGAGUCCGCGGCCGAUUAGCUUGUUGGUAGGGUAACGGCCUACCAAGGCGAUGAUCGGUAGCCGGCCUGAGAGGGCACACGGCCACACUGGCACUGAAAUACGGGCCAG